rnacentral:rRNA from 1 species
UAAGGAGAGUGCGAAUUUUAUUCGGAAUUAUUGUUUGUAAUGAGUGCGAAUUCGGAUUGUUAGCUCAGAUGUUACAGCCCCGGAUUCCACCUGAGAAAUGUUUUUGAUACUGGCUCCCUAUAGUUUGAUAGAGGCAAUGUGAAUUCCUAGUGGAACUGUGAGAUGAGUACAGAUUAUAAGGAACAUCAGGGGUUAAGGCCCCUUCCUGCUUUAUCAUUGACGCUGAGUGGUGAAAGCGUGCGUAUGACACAGGAUUAUAUAACCUGGUAUGCCACGCCGAACACGAUGACAACUAGUUGUUGCGCUUAUUAAAUAGGAUAUAGAAUGAAGCUAACUGCGAUAACUUGACCGCCUGGGGACUACUUUCGUAAGAUUAGAACACACAUUACUUGACGAGGGCCCGCACAACGGUUGGAGUAUGAGUGUUACUUCUGUGCAACUGGAAGAGCCUUACCAUCCCUUGACAUCCUGCUAACUUUCUAGAGAUAGAUUGGUGCCUUCGGGAAUGCACUGACAGUUGCUGCAUGGCUGUAGUCAGCUCGUGUCGUGAGAUGUCAGGGUAAGUUACCCAACGAGCGCACGCCUUAUCAUUAGCUGGUCUCAAUUAGGUGAGAACUCUAAUGAGACUGCCGGUGAUAAACCGGAGGAAGGCGGGGACGACGUCAAGUCAUCAUGGUCCUUAUGGGAUGGCCUACACUCGUGCUACAAUGGGAGAUACACAGAGCGGCCAACUGGCGUCAGUUCGUGCAUCUCAAAAAAUCUCUCGUAGUCCGGAUCAGAGUCUGCAACUCGACUCCAAGAAGUCGGAAUCCAUAGUAAUCGCGAAUCAGAAUGUCGCGGUGAAUCCGUUCCCGUGACC